UGGCUCAGUUGGUAGAGCAUGGUGUUUGUAACGCCAGCUUGGUGUUUGCAACCCCGGGGAUGUGGGUUCGAUUCCCAC
rnacentral:tRNA from 1 species